rnacentral:rRNA from 1 species
CCAGCAGCCGCGGUAAUUCCAGCUCCAAUAGCGUAUAUUAAAGUUGUUGCAGUUAAAAAGCUCGUAGUUGAACUUCUGUACAGUCCCAAUUCUGGCUUCGGUCAAGUUGUGGAUUGUACAUCCGCUUGCAAAUCUAGUUCGGCAUUCACUUGUUGGCUAGGGGAGUAAGCUUUUUACUUUGAAAAAAUUAGAGUGUUUCAGGCAGGCAAUUGUUUGUAUACAUUAGCAUGGAAUAAUGGAAUAGGACUUUUGUCCAUUUGAUUGGUUAUUGGACAUGAGUAAUGAUUAAAAGGGACAGCUGGGGGCAUUAGUACUUAAUAGUCAGAGGUAAAAUUCUUGGAUUUAUUAAAGACUAACUUAUGCGAAAGCAUUUGCCAAGGAUGUUUUCAUUAAUCAAGAACGAAAGU